rnacentral:lncRNA from 1 species
AGGGGAACUGCUAUCUUAGGUGUAAAUUUAUUUGUCAGAAUUCAUAGAACUGUAUACCUAGAAUCUAUUUACAGAUGAAAAUCAUGCCUCUAGCAAUAUUCAUGUCCGUGUGUGUGUCCAUGUGUCUGUGUGCGUGUGUGUGUGUGUCUCCUGCGCACAUCUCACAUAUCCACACCUCAAUAUUCAUUAUGAGCUGACGUCCGAGGCUGCAUUCCAGCCUCCCAGAGCGCCCUAAUGACUGGAAGCCCAAUGGCAGAUGCCUGAGGAGGGCUUCCCCUCUCCUUUCCACAGCUCUGCCCUUCUCCGGCAGUCGCUCUUUCUUCCCUCCUUCUCUUUCUUCUUUUCUUCAAAUUACUGAGUAAGCAAGGCCCUAGCAAGCAAAUCAAAGCAAAGACAUCACUAACUCCACUUUGUUCAUUUAUUUUGACAAGUGCAGUUUAAUUUUAAUUAUUUAUGAUAAUACUUCAUAGUAGCCGAGUAAAUGUGCCGGGGUAUAUUUGGUAACAUUAAUGAAGUCUGCCUAAUAGGGACCUUCACUCCAGCAUCCAGCCUGGAGAGCUGCCUGCUGGAGAAGCAGGGUGAGACCAUUGGUCUGUAGUGGGGUUUGCAUUUUUUUUGGUGGGGGUGGGGAGAGGAGAGGAGAACUUAAUGGGUUUGAGGAUUAGCCAAGGGAAAAUUAACCCGAUUCCGAGAAGAGGCAAAUAGUAAGCCCAUAAUCAUGUGUAGAUGCGGAUUGUGUGUAUUUAAACACACGCUUGGUGAUAAGAAGGCCCAGGCGUGCACACAUGCCACAUGCAUAUUUACACAUGAAUCUCCAAUGUGCAAAUUAACAGAGGCUGGGAGAAAUUAGGCUCUGGCCAAUUAAAAAUAGAAAUAAAACCAGAAAAUGUAAUACAUAGAGUUCUCUAUCUCUCCAAAGUACCUUUCUUCUACAUAGCAAAUGCUUCAAGUAGGCAAACAUAGGGCAGAUUUGGGAAGAUUGGGGAAGAAUUUCUUCAGCGGGCGAUGACAUUAGAAUGUUCCAUUCAACACACAAUGGAGAUGAUAUGCAAUUCUUUAUGGACUCAAUGUUCCUUUAAAUAGGUCUGGACCAGGGAUGUAGCUCAGUGGUAGAGCACUUGCCUAGCAUUGAGCUGGUCUGGAGUUCCAUCAUAGUGUAAAAACAAAAAAACAAUAGUGCUGACUCUUCACCUCUCCAUGACUGUUAAUAUAAGGGUAGGAUUCUGCAUAUCAGCAAAGCCUGUACAUACACACCCAUAUAAUGGGUAUAUUAUUCACCAUUUGGUGCAAACGCAUAGGUUUCCAAGGCCUUUUGAGACAAGAGCAGUAAAGCGUUUACAAGUUGUGAUACUUAAGGCAUGGUACAAUUAAUGGUUGGUUUUUGAGACUGUAAAGAAAACUUUGGACACUCUUUUUAUUUUAUUUUUUCAAAUACUGAGGACUUCUUGUUCCUUAUCUCUGAAGUAUCUGCUAGUGACCAAAGUAGUUUAAAGACAUAUCAAGGAAUAGGUAUGUUUUCUUGAGGCCAACUCUAGUACUGUCUCAGGACAAAGACCAGUUCUUUGAGGUAAGAACUAUUAAUUCCCUCGGCCAUCUCUGAUUUGUCUGUUUGUUGUGGUUUAUUUUUCUGAAUGAUCCCAGCGGGGAAAGUGGGCCCCUUUCACAGGGAGGGUUAGCCAAAGAAUCAGAAGUGGGAGACUCUUCUGGCACAGUGCUGGCAUGCAGGGUCUCCAACCUGCCCGUUCCUAAAACACAGGUGCUCCUGAGGUCCCUCAAAUCCCCUACUCUUCAAGCAGAGACGUGCUUUAGACGGUACAAGAGGAUCAGUCCUAGGCACCUGGCUCCCAGAUUUCUCCCCUGGCCCCAAACUCUUCCAACCUUUUUCCUUAAAGCUGUGACCUGGCUCUGGCGUGGGAAAGGCGGUUUGGAGCUUUUCACAAAUCCACUAUCCCCUUGAACCAAAACCAAUUAGCCUGGCCCAAGGUCCUGUCAUUGAGGCCCUGGCCCUCUUUUCAAACCCCUGCGGCUCAAUUGCGGUGAGGGGCUGGCCAGUGAAUGCAGGGACCACUUAAAGUGGCGCUUAAGCCGGACCGGGAUGGAAGGAAGGAGCCAGCGCUAUAGGAGCUGCGGCCGCCCAUUCUCAGAGCCACUGACCAAGGUUUUGUUCCAGUCACAGCCCCCACCCCGGCUCCUCUGUUAACGACCUUCCUCUCUACAGUUUCCAGCUGUCUAGAGGAGAAAUCAAAAGCUAGCUCUAGGAAUCUGUGAGGCACCCUAGCUAGAAAGGACACCCCAGCUUUUGGGUCUUACCCCAACAAGUCCUGUCCUCGAAGGCAUUAACCACGACAGAGCUUGUAUCACUGUUAUGCUUGAUGUUGUUCUUGAAUGUUGUCCUUGGGUGCACCUGAACAACCACCCAUCUUCUGGAUGGGAAAAUGGACUUGCCUGAAAUCAUGGGACUUACACUUAGGGCAGUUUGGGAAAAGUUUUCUGGGACUCCUACUCUCUUAGGAAGAGAGAGAAGGGCCUUCGGACCAAGAUGAGAAAGACUGUGGAGUGAUCAUCUCAGCUAAUUAAAAAGCUGAACACAAGCCCAGGUAGCUCUCAAGAUGGGGUCCACAUCAUCCGCAUCCACAUAGGGUCCAGAAUGGAGCGUGUAAGGAUAAAGCGCCAGAACCUUCCUUCAGCCUCUUACCUCUAGCUCGUUCCCAAUUUCCUUUCACACUCUUCAAGUGGAGUGAAGACACCCUCCGUAUUGGGUACCACUGCUAGGGGGUCUAUAACCGUCGCCAUGGUAAUACGCAUCCCACCCUAGGCCAAAGCUGAUUGGCCAUUUAAUCCAGGGUGGAGGAAGGUAGGCUGGGCUCGAGUCUGGGUGGAAGAGGGGACAAGGACAUCCCACCCCACGCGUGUGAGAAGCCGAGGAGAAAGAGAAGGCGAUUAAAAUGGCGCCGCAAGCCUCCAAAGGGCCGCUGUUCUGGGUGUAGACACCCGGAUGGGAGAAAACCCAGCGGUUCUCCGGACCACUCCGGCUCUCGGGGGGGGGCCCUUGAGGGCGCAUCAAUCCGGGCAAGACUGUGCCGGGGCUCACGGCUGAGCGCUCCCCGCCCGGCUCCGCAGGCCGGCUUGCACGCUUCGGCCGGCCAGGAGCGCCAGCGCAGGCUUAGCGGGAUCCGCGGACCCCGGGGCGCGGGGCUGCGCGUUGGGGGCGAGGGCGGGGCGGGCGGCGGCCGCGCCUCUAAUCCCGGCGCUGCGUGUGGGAGCGGCGGGAUCAGGGAAUUAGCGCUGUAACUUCGGAUUAGUAACGCUCGCUAAAUGAGCGCCUAAUUCCGACCCUUCAUGCUUUUCAGCGUCGCACUGGGUCCUGGGAGGCCUCCUGGCCCGGCUGCUUCGUGCUCUGUUCCCAUUUCCCGGGAGGUCCGACAGCGGUCGAGAACUCCCGAACCAGUCUAGAGCCAGCUUCUGGCCUCGCUGCACCGUGCGUUUCCGUGAGGACUGCGGAUGCCAGCUUUCAUUGGUCGGGUUGAGGCCCAUAUGGCCGGUAUAGUUCAGUGUUGAAAUUCUUUGGACAACGGAGGAAGAAGCCUUCGAAGCCUCCUUCUCAACGAGGGCUGUUCUCAACCCUGACCUGCCAAGUGGCCUACCGUGUGACCUUCUGCGACAUGCUCCGCGUUUCUAGUUGUAAAAUGAAAGGUGUUGACAUCUUUGAGAUCUCAACCAAUUUAGGCUUCCAACUGUACUUUCAGCCGGCGCUUUCAGGACCCACAAGCCUUUUCUUAUAGAAAGAGACUAGUUAGUGCAAGUUGGAGCAGUGUAACCCAAACUUGGGCAGUCAGGCCAGAGAACGCUCAACAAAUGGGACAGGAUGGGUGGGGGGGAGCAAAGGCUGAGGACCCUCCAAGCUCCCCAAGGAAGCCAUAGGCUAGCUAGGGAGGUUGAUAAGGAACACAAUUUUAAGCCUGUGUCUCGGGCUCCAAGGGUCCUGGGUGGGAUUUGAACAUCUCUCUGUUAGGAUAAAAUGGAUGGGCUGGCACCCCUGAAAACCUUUUGUGGUGGGUGUGAGAUAAACUCUGUGAAUCAGAAUCAGCAGACCCAUUCCAUCACCACCACCACCACCUCCUCCCUUGAGGCCCUCAUCUUUUCCCUAAAGUGCAAGGUUUGUAUCAGCAGAUUUCCCCCUUCAUAGAAAGCAGUAAAAGUCCUGCACUGUCUCAGGCUAGGACUCUACCUCCAUGGGACUCCUAAUGGGGGGACUCCAGCCUGCCUGGACGGCAAAAGAACCAAAGGCGACACACAUUUGAACUACACCUAAGACACAGUCGUGAAGCUAUGUGACCACCUUGGUGUAGGAAGGACUGGCUCUUACAAAAAUAGCAAAGGAGAGGGGCCAGGGAAGAGAAGGCUCUGAGUACCGGGGCAGGCUCUGGGGAAGCCCCAGCCCAUCCGUGAGACGUGGAGGCAGGGAGUGCUGGGCAAGCAGGCUGAGAGAGCUGCUCUGCUUUCCUCAGAAAUGAGGUCACCACCAGCACACAGGCUCCCAGGUGCACCAGGAAGGGGGAGCAAGCCCAGUAGAUGCAGUUGGGGGGAGGGAGGCUCCUGGGUCCUCAAACACGCGAGUGACCCUUCACAGGCCUAAGAAACGGGAAGGAAAAGAUGAAAGGACCUCGAACCCCUUCCUUCCACCCAAUGAGUCCCUGAGAAGGAGGCACAGAGACAGCUGCUUUCCUGCCACCGCGUUUAAUUUUGUCUAACAUUCCAAGGCAAUGCAGUGAAAAACUCUCCAUCUACCGUAUGGAAGCCACACCUUGCCCCUCCCCAGACCCAGGAGGUUCUCCUUUGUAUCACUGAAUUUAUUUUUACUUUUACACAAGUCACCUUUUUGUUGUUAAGAUAAUUUUGCUAAGCAAAGGGUGUGGGGGGGGGGGAGGAACGGCUGGUAGGCACAAAGAUGGAAAAAGAUUUCUAUUAUCACAAGGGGGCUGGGCAGGUUCUGGAUAGAGGCUGAGAGACCAAUCUUAUAAAUAACUAAGGCAAGAGGCUCUUGGGAUUGAACUGGGCCAAGAUGGAGGUAAGGUGACCUAGGUAGUGCCCACCUCUGCACUUCUGCGCUGUGUGUGCUACUCCCUAAGGAGUAGGCCCUCACCCCCCAGAUCUGCUUCCUUAAUAUGUUCAAGGAAAAGAAAGCGGGUCAAGUCAGGAUGGUAGCACUAAUCCUUCCCAGUCAAUCUGCUAAAGCAUGUAUACACUGAUAUGUGCCUUAAAGAACCCCAAAAGACCCCAAGCCUUAAGGUAUGUGAACUGACUUUGGAUCCUUUCUUCCCUACACUUGAUAGGGUCCAUAGCUGGGUCUACAUCCACCACGCGGGAGCCCUAAUGGUUUCCUAAGUUGCAGGGGGCCCCAAACUUCAAGAUAAGGAAAGAGUAAAGGGAGUGGCAGGAAGGAGAGGGACCUGAAGGCAGAGAAACCUCAAAGGGACCUUCCGCUCCUUGUGGGGCUAAGAACCACGGACACAGAACAUUGGCACGCCCCACUCGCAGCGCCCAGCUAAGAGGGACCUGGAGCUUGAGUGGCCGGUGUGCAGCAUUGGGUUGCCAUGGGAACGGAAUUCAGAUUUUUUCCCCCAAUUGCUUUUUUAUUUGCUAGACAUUGUAAUACAUCUUAUGUUGCCAUUUAUUGGGGCGGGAAGGAGAGGAGCUCCAGAGAGCCUGGCUUCCCCCUUAACCAGUUGGGGAAGUUGGGGAGGCUCCGGCCCCAGCCGUCCGACCAGAACUAUAGAGGUUUAGAGGAUCUGGGCUACGUCUCUCCCGCCCAGCAGCCUGCUCUUGGUUUGUAUGCAGGGCAGGGCCGGUCGGUCGGGGCGGGAGGCCCCCCGCCUAGGCCCCUUGCCAUUGAGUACACUCCCCGCCAGUUCUGCUCCGCUUCACGCUGCACACAGACCCCCCAACUGCACACAAAGGCAGCUGCCAGAGCCGGUGAAAAGUGAUCAAAUUAUCAAGAACUUGACCUCACCGAGGGGCGAAGCUCCAGCAACCCCCCAGCCGUAUGCUAAUGGUGCUCAGGGGCUGACUCGUCGAAUAAUUCGAUAAAGGCUGCAUUGUUAGCGGCAGGGCAGCCCCCUGCCCACCCUUUUACUCCCCCUACACACUGCCUACCGGUCUCUCUCUCUCUCUCCUCUCUCUCUCUCUCUCUCUCUCUCUCUCUCUCUCUCUCUCUCUCUCUCUCUCUCCCCCUUCCUCUCUCUCUCCCUUCCUCUCUCCCUUCCUCUCUCCGUUCUCUUUCUCAUCGCAUUUGCAUCCCAAAAUCCUAGUCUGCAGCUCAGGGCGUGGAUUGUUCUAGCCUGAUUUAUGGGGUGAAGGCAAAGGCUGGCGCCUUCCCCGCCAGCGACCCCUCUGCAACCCCAGCCCGUUCCCUGCCCCCAACCCACUCCACUUCGGGGUUCCAGCCUCGGCGCUGGGAAAUGGUGAUGGGGGUGCAGGGACCGAGGAGGAGGUGAAGGGAAUGCCUCCAGGACACGGCAAGUGUCCCCAGGAGAGCCGAGGUCGGAUACCUGGUCCCGGCGUGGCCGCUCCGUCGAGCUGGAAUCCCUGGGUGGCGUGGGCUUCUCUGGGCUCCUCUGGCUCCUGUGGCCAGGGCGGCCGGCCGGGCCAUCGCACGCAGAAGUUGUGAGAGUCAUUUCUACUUUCG